rnacentral:rRNA from 1 species
CGUAGGGCGCAAGCGUUGUCCGGAACUAUUGGGCGUAGAGAGCUCGUAGGUGGCGUGUCGCGUCUGCCGUGAAAGCCCAUGGCUUAACUGUGGGUCUGCGGUGGAUACGGGCAGGCUGGAGGCUGGUAGGGGCAAGCGGAAUUCCUGGUGUAGCGGUGAAAUGCGCAGAUAUCAGGAGGAACACCGGUGGCGAAGGCGGCUUGCUGGGCCAGUUCUGACGCUGAGGAGCGAAAGCGUGGGGAGCGAACAGGAUUAGAUACCCUGGUAGUCCACGCUGUAAACGUUGGGCGCUAGGUGUUGGGUCCUUCCACGGAUUCGGUGCCGUAGCUAACGCAUUAAGCGCCCCGCCUGGGGAGUACGGCCGCAAGGCUA